UCUUUGUUGCUGCAGUUAGAUCUUGUUAUGGUGAAUCCAGCCUGCUCCGUGGUGUGGAUUGGAUGCCACCCAAGGGAGGUGUGACUGAAGAGCAAAUGUUGAGGUUCAUGGGGGCAAAUACAAGGCUAUCUGUCUCGCAGGCAAAAGAACUUCUCGAGGCUGACGAAGUUGGUUUUGCAUACGUAAGUCAGCGUGAAGCUCGCCCAUCUCUGUAUGUGUCCUGUUUCUUGUUUUCUAUUCAUUUACAUGUUCGUUAUUCUUUCA